AUAAAGCAGUGCCAGAGACGCUGGCAAACUGUUAUGCAUGAAGCAAAAUCUAAAAUUAGUGCCUACCAAAAGGCCAGGAAUGGAACAGGUGGUGGCCUUCCGCCUACACCCCUCGGGGAGCUAGAGGUCAUCAUCGCUGAUGUGCUGGGAGAGGGGAACGUAUCAGUCAAUUCUAUUGACAGGACAGUGGUGGACCCUUUUCCACUUGACACUGAAGAUGUUCCCGAAAAUGGGAGUCUUCAGGUGGAUGUCACACCACCUGUCCCUCCCCAACCCAGCACAGACACACCUCAAACCACCACCACACCACCACCAGUAGUUCCUGCCGCUGCAGCUUCCUCCAGUACACCAGUUGGGACCUGCACCAUGUUGGUGGAUGAGGAGGAGCUGCAGUUCAUCCGCCUGAAGAGGGAACUUGAACUGCAGGCUGCAGAGCUACAAGUUGAAAUUAAACAGGCAGAAUUAAAAAAACUUAAACAAGAAACUGAAAAUUUAAAAGUACAUAAAACCC